rnacentral:rRNA from 1 species
UACGGGGGGGGCAAGCGUUGUUCGGAAUUACUGGGCGUAAAGGGCUCGUAGGCGGCCAACUAAGUCCGACGUGAAAUCCCCAGGCUUAACCUGGGAACUGCGUCGGAUACUGGAUGGCUUGAAUUCGGGAGAGGGAUGCAGAAUUCCAGGUGUAGCGGUGAAAUGCGUAGAUAUCUGGAGGAACACCGGUGGCGAAGGCGGCAUCCUGGACCAACACUGACGCUGAGGAGCGAAAGGCCAGGGGAGCAAACGGG